rnacentral:rRNA from 1 species
UAGGUGGUUUGUCGCGUUGUUCGUGAAAACUCACAGCUUAAACUGUGGGCGUGCGGGCGAUACGGGCAGACUUGAGUACUGCAGGGGAGACUGGAAUUCCUGGUGUAGCGGUGGAAUGCGCAGAUAUCAGGAGGAACACCGGUGGCGAAGGCGGGUCUCUGGGCAGUAACUGACGCUGAGGAGCGAAAGCGUGGGGAGCGAACAGGAUUAGAUACCCUGGUAGUCCACGCCGUAAACGGUGGGUACUAGGUGUGGGUUUCCUUCCUUGGGAUCCGUGCCGUAGCUAACGCAUUAAGUACCCCGCCUGGGGAGUACGGCCGCAAGGCUAAAACUCAAAGAAAUUGACGGGGGCCCGCACAAGCGGCGGAGCAUGUGGAUUAAUUCGAUGCAACGCGAAGAACCUUACUUGGGUUUGACAUGCACAGGACGACUGCAGAGAUGUGGUUUCCCUUGUGGCCUGUGUGCAGGUGGUGCAUGGCUGUCGUCAGCUCGUGUCGUGAGAUGUUGGGUUAAGUCCCGCAACGAGCGCAACCCUUGUCCUAUGUUGCCAGCGGGUUAUGCCGGGGACUCGUAGGAGACUGCCGGGGUCAACUCGGAGGAAGGUGGGGAUGACGUCAAGUCAUCAUGCCCCUUAUGUCCAGGGCUUCACACAUGCUACAAUGGCCGGUACAAAGGGCUGCGAUGCCGUGAGGUGGAGCGAAUCCUUGUUAAAGCCGGUCUCAGUUCGGAUCGGGGUCUGCAACUCGACCCCGUGAAGUCGGAGUCGCUAGUAAUCGCAGAUCAGCAACGCUGCGGUGAAUACGUUCCCGGGCCUUGUACAUCACCGCCCGUCACGUCAUGAAAGUCGGUAACACCCGAAGCCGGUGGCCUAGACCCCU